rnacentral:rRNA from 1 species
GACGAACUCUGGCGGCGUGCCUAAUACAUGCAAGUCGAGCGGACCGGAUUGGGGCUUGCCUUGAUUCGGUCAGCGGCGGACGGGUGAGUAACACGUGGGCAACCUGCCCGCAAGACCGGGAUAACUCCGGGAAACCGGAGCUAAUACCGGAUAACACCGAAGACCGCAUGGUCUUCGGUUGAAAGGCGGCCUUUGGGCUGUCACUUGCGGAUGGGCCCGCGGCGCAUUAGCUAGUUGGUGAGGUAACGGCCCACCAAGGCGACGAUGCGUAGCCGGCCUGAGAGGGUGACCGGCCACACUGGGACUGAGACACGGCCCAGACUCCUACGGGAGGCAGCAGUAGGGAAUCUUCCGCAAUGGGCGAAAGCCUGACGGAGCGACGCCGCGUGAGCGAAGAAGGCCUUCGGGUCGUAAAGCUCUGUUGUGAGGGACGAAGGAGCGCCGUUCGAAGAGGGCGGCGCGGUGACGGUACCUCACGAGAAAGCCCCGGCUAACCACGUGCCAGCCGCCGCCGUAA